AGAGCGAACGCUGGCGGCAGGCCUAACACAUGCAAGUCGAGCGCCCGUAGCAAUACGGGAGCGGCAGACGGGAUAGUAACACGUGGGAACGCGCCCUUCGGUUCGGAAUAACUCAGGGAAACUUGAGCUAAUACCGAAUACGCCCUUACGGGGAAAGAUUUAUUGCCGAAGGAACGGCCCGCGUCCGAUUAGCUAGUUGGUGAGGUAAUGGCUCACCAAGGCUACGAUCGGUAGCUGGUCUGAGAGGAUGACCAGCAUCACUGGGACUGAGACACGGCCCAGACUCCUACGGGAGGCAGCAGUGGGGAAUAUUGGACAAUGGGCGCAAGCCUGAUCCAGCCAUGCCGCGUGGAUGAUGAAGGCCUUAGGGUUGUAAAGUCCUUUUAACGGGGGAGAUAAUGACGGUACCCGUAGAAUAAGCCCCGGCUAACUUCGUGCCAGCAGCCGC
rnacentral:rRNA from 1 species